CGAUCGUAGGUGGCGGACGGGUGAGUAACGCGUGGGUAACCUGCCUUACACAGGGGGAUAACACCUGGAAACAGGUGCUAAUACCGCAUAAGCGCACAGGGCCGCAUGGCCCGGUGUGAAAAACUCCGGUGGUGUAAGAUGGACCCGCGUCUGAUUAGCUUGUUGGCGGGGUAGGGGCCCACCAAGGCGACGAUCAGUAGCCGGCCUGAGAGGGUGGACGGCCACAUUGGGACUGAGACACGGCCCAAACUCCUACGGGAGGCAGCAG
rnacentral:rRNA from 1 species